GACAGAGGUGCCAAGCGUUAGGCGGAAUCACUGGGCUUAAAGCGUGUGUAGGCGGAAUGGUAAGUACCUUGUGAAAUCCCACGGCUUAACCGUGGAACUGCUUGGCAUACUGGCGGUCUUGAGCAACCUAGGGGCGAGCGGAACAAAUGGUGGAGCGGUGAAAUGCGUAGAUAUCAUUUGGAACGCCAAUGGUGAAAACAGCUCGCUGGGGGUUUGCUGACGCUGAGACACGAAAGCCAGGGGAGCAAACGGG
rnacentral:rRNA from 1 species